rnacentral:tRNA from 1 species
AAGGGGAAAAGCGAAGGCCGCCCGCCUAUCGGCGAAACGCGCUGGAGGGCCUGCGAGGAGGCUGUUGCCGCCGCAGCAGGACCGAAGCGUCGCGAGCCGAUGGCGGCCGGAGCUAGACAAUUCGAAAAGCGGAGGCGAGCGUUUUGCCGCGAUGGGCAAAUGUUCUUCGCCUAGAGGGAUGUUUACAUCCCGAAGGCGAAGGUUAUUUGGCCCCGAGCGGCGGCGAGCCGGAGCUAGACAGAAUUUCUUGACAAAACCUAUCAGUUUGAUUAUAAUGACGCUUGUCGUUUUGUUUAGUUUUGAGGGAACUUUCCCUCCAUGGGCCUAUAGCUCAGCUGGUCAGAGCGCACGCCUGAUAAGCGUGAGGUCGGUGGUUCAAGUCCACUUAGGCCCAUCGGUUGCGGGGCCUUAGCUCAGCUGGGAGAGCGCCUGCUUUGCACGCAGGAGGUCAUCGGUUCGAUCCCGAUAGGCUCCACCACUUUUCUUGAUUCGUUCCUUGAAAACUAGAUAACCGGAAAAGCGGAGGCGAGUGUUUCGCCGCGAUGGGCAAAUGUUCUUCGCCCGCAGGGGUGCUGGCACCCCGAGGGGGAAGGUUAUUUGACCCCGAGCGGCGGCGAGCCGACGCUAGACAAUAAGGAAGAAGCCGAGAGCGCUGUA